rnacentral:rRNA from 1 species
UACGAAGGGGGCUAGCGUUGCUCGGAAUCACUGGGCGUAAAGCGCACGUAGGCGGAUUGUUAAGUCAGGGGUGAAAUCCUGGAGCUCAACUCCAGAACUGCCUUGAUACUGGCAAUCUCGAGUCCGGGAGAGGUGAGUGGAACUGCGAGUGUAGAGGUGAAAUUCGUAGAUAUUCGCAAGAACACCAGUGGCGAAGGCGGCUCACUGGCCCGGUACUGACGCUGAGGUGCGAAAGCGUGGGAGCAACAGG